GGAUGCUUUUUAUCAAGUGGGAUCCAUUCUAUGACUGCUUUGGUGCAUUUGCCGUCAUUUCUUCUUGCUAUGUGAACAGCCUGUUUCCAUUGUUUCUCUACCAUCAGUUUAAGGAAUAAAUCACACAUUAUAAUCUGGAUCCAAAAAAGUGACAGCAGAAGAGUGAUUCCCGUUCACUCUACCCAAAGCCUCUCCUCACAGGUUUCUAAAUCCUAAGAAGAAAAGACUGAAGAACAUCUGGAAAGAGAACAAAGAAAGCUAUCUUCCAUCAAGCUUCUGCUUCGGAUGCAUUCCUAGAUUUGAACCUGGAUUUUUUGAUGUGUAUAGUACUUUGCACUUAAUAUAUACACAUGAAAUAGGUCUUCCAAUAGGAAUCAGUACAUGAAGCACAAAUACAUGGAGUGAAGACUUUCAGGAUUUCUAGGGCUCAUGAUCAAAAGGACUCUUUCCUACAGAAGCUCAAAAGGAUUCAUGCAUUCAUAAAGCCUGUGGACUUCAUUAAAUGUUCAGUGUGAAGAGGAAAAAAAUAAGUGGCUUCCAACUCACAUGCUGAAUUUACCAGUAAUUUUAACAUCUGAAAAACAUACUUAGUAAAGAAUAAAACCUACAGAACAUAUUUAACCUUACUUUUGAAAAGGCAAUCAAAACAACACAGAGAGAGGAUAAGUUCGCUACUAGCACUGAUGACACAUGAAGGGACUUACAAAAACUCAAAGAUGCAGUCGUCAUAAAAUUAUGCCCAUCAGAAUACAAAGAAUCGGAAGCGGGUGAACAAUUGAACAAUAACAAAUACAAAUGAAAUUAUGCUGCAUAUGAAUAAGACAAACAUAUAUUUUGGAAAUAUAUUUAUCAUCAUA